GCCAAGAUAACCAAGCGGUAAGGUGGUGGUCUCGAAAACCACUGGCGUUUGCCUCCGGGGUUCAAAUCCCCGUCUUGGCUCCA
rnacentral:tRNA from 1 species